rnacentral:snoRNA from 1 species
AUCCCAUGAUGACGACACUCGAGUAUGUAGUCAUGAAAGCACUCCCAGGCUUCUAGGACUCUCUCAUCAUGUUGUUGCUGAAAACUUGAUAUCUUCCCUUAAAGAGCAU